rnacentral:rRNA from 1 species
AUAUCAGGAAGCACACAGGUGGCGAUCGUCGACGUCUAGGUCUGAUACUGACGCUGAGGCGCGAAAGUGUGGGGAGCGUACAGGAUUAGAUACCAUGCUAGUCCACACUGUACAUGAUGGGUAGUAGUUCUUGGUGGUAUUGAUCAGCGCCGGAGCAAACACCAGUAAGUCCCCCUCCUUGUGAAUACGGUCGCUAGAGUGAAACUCAAAGGAAUCGACGGGGGCCCGCACAAGCGGUGGAGCAUGUGGUUUAAUUCGAUGCAACGCGAAGAACCUUACCAGGGCUUGAACUGCAGGUGCUAUCUCCUGAAAGGGAGUUUCCUUCGGGACGUAGGUAGAGGUGCUGCAUGGCUGUCGUCAGCUCGUGCUGUGUUGUGCUGGGUUAAGUCCCGCAACGAGGGCAACCCCUGUCCCUAGUUGCCAUCAGGUCAAUCCGGGAACUGUAGGGGGAGUGCCCCGGAUAACGGGGAGGAAGGUGGGGAGUAUGUCAAGUCAUCAUGGCCCUUACGUCCAGGGGUACUCACAUGCUCCAAUGGCCGGUACAACGGGUAGGGAGACAGCGACGUGGAGCAAAUCCCUUAAAACAGGUCUCAGUUCAGAUUGCAGUAGCCAACCCGACUGCAUGAAGUCGAAUAGUUAGUAAUCGCGGAUCAGCAUGCCGCGGUGAAUACGUUCCCGGGCCUGCACACACCGCCCGUCACGCCAUGGGAGUCGGUAGCCUCCGAAGCAGACGAACCCAUCGGUUCUG